rnacentral:tRNA from 1 species
UCGCGGGAUGGAGCAGUUCGGUAGCUCGUCGGGCUCAUAACCCGAAGGGCGGUGGUAAAAAUCCGCCUCCCGCAAU